GAAUCUUCCACAGAGAAGCCACCCAGGAUGAGGCAGCAUGGCAUUGAGGUCACAGAGGUGUCAAAGUUGUCAGUGAAGAAGGUAGCUACUGUUAUUAACUGUGCAGGAUAGUGUGGUUCUUCUGAGUUUUUUAAAAACUGUUGUGGACGUGCAAGUUCGCAUCACUGCCAAUAAGCAGAUGGGCCCCUGCAACAUGAAUUUUGGAUGAGAGAAGUAUCUCACAGCCUCCUUUGGGCCAAGAAUAGAUGAGGGCAGUCAAGAGGACAUUAAUCCAUGAUGUCUACAUUUUCACCAUUGCCAAGAUUUUGUUGAUGAUGAGGAUGUUGCUUCGAAAAUUCAGGCUGGAGUUGGGAUAAGUUGCUGAAUUCUCUGAUGUGACCAUAGUUUCACAGAAGACACCAGUCAACUCUAACACAAACAGUUCCCACAAACAAAGUGAUUAUUCGUCCUCUAACAGACCUUGAAGUGAGGGACCUAGAUUAUAAAACCCAGGCAAGGAGAACACCUUCCAGAAUCCAGAUAGGUACUCACAGCCCAGUUGGAGGUAUUUAAAAAGGCCUCAAGACUUUGAUUCUUGUCCAUGUCCUACUUUUAACAAUCUUGCCAGGAUCCUGUCGUUGGUAGGUGAUACAGGCAUUGUAAACAUGCUUAAAAUUACCCCAACAAUGCUGGCUCCAUUUCAAGGCCCAUUUAUCUCUGAUGCUAUGCUAACAGUAUGAAGCAUUUCUGUUAAACUCUGCUUUUGUUGUGGCUGUCUGAUGAGUUAAUGGCACAACAUCUUGAUUUUCCUCUCUGUCUGGUUUGCACCUGCAGAGGCAAGGCCGGGCACUAGCUCUGGCCGCUGUCAGCUGUCCUGCCAAGACACAAGCUGCUAAGCAGGACUGGCUUCAUAAUUUGCAGGCCCAGUGCGAAAUGAAAACAAGGGGCCCCUCGUUCAAGAUUUAUUAACAAUUUCAAGACAGUGAGAGCAGAAAGUUAAACCAAGUACAGGACCCUUCUGAGCCUGAGGAGGCCUGUCAGAGCCCUGCUGCCCCUGCAACAUGGCAGACAAGACAACUGGGUUCCCAGAGCCCUAACUCCAGAGGAAUGGCCAGAACUGGAGAACAUUCCAGGAAGCAAACAGGAGCUGCAGUCUGAAGAUUAGAGACUGAAGGCCAAGAUAGCAGAAUAGCUACUGAAACUGAGGACCCUGGGAUCCACAGAAGAAAGCAAACUGUUCAGGGCAACAAACAGGUGGCCUGGGCAGGAGAAAAUCAAUGUGGGGGCUGAAAGCAGAUCCAGUUCUUAACAGGAUGGUCUAUUGGAGGCCACUGAUGAAGAAAUUGGCCCAGUUCUUGAAGAAAGGUGAAGGGCUCGGCAAAACAGCCAAUAAGGAGUGUCUGCAGAAGAGAUAAGUUUAAUAUCUAGGUUCGCCCUGGGCUUGUAACAAGGAGGUAGAGUUCACUGAUCUAGACUUUGUCCAGCCAUUUCAGCAAUUUCUGAGGAACUUGGGAACGCAGGGAGAGGCACAAAGGACUGAUGGGAUGAUGGAGGCCUUUGCCCAGGGACAGUGUCAUCAAGAACGCUUUAGUGCCCAGAUGCUGAUAUCCUCUCCUUUGCACAUCUUGUUGAAUACCAGCUAGAAGCCCGAAGUCAUAGAGAAGCCCGCAGGAGAAAGGUUCACUGCCAUGAACAGAGCCAUCAGUGAUGGACGAGCAACUCUAGAAGCUGUCAUUUCUCAAAUUAACAUUAACCACGUUUGCCUCUCACUUGCUUCUUCCCAGUUCCCAUUUUUCAC